rnacentral:rRNA from 1 species
UACGAAGGGUGCAAACGUUGCUCGGAAUUAUUGGGCGUAAAGCGCACGUAGGCGGCUUUGCAAGUCGGAUGUGAAAUCCCUCGGCUUAACCAAGGAAGUGCAUCCGAAACUGCAGAGCUUGAGUACUUAAGAGGAUCGCGGAAUUCCCGGUGUAGUGGUGAAAUGCGUAGAGAUCGGGGGGAACACCCGUGGCGAAGGCGGCCAGCUGGGCCGUCCCUGACACUGAGGCGCGAAGGCGUGGGGGAGCGAACGGG